rnacentral:rRNA from 1 species
AGCGAACGCUGGCGGCAGGCCUAACACAUGCAAGUCGAACGAACUCUUCGGAGUUAGUGGCGGACGGGUGAGUAACACGUGGGAACGUGCCUUUAGGUGCGGAAUAACUCAGGGAAACUUGUGCUAAUACCGAAUGUGCCCUUCGGGGGAAAGAUUUAUCGCCUUUAGAGCGGCCCGCGUCUGAUUAGCUAGUUGGUGAGGUAAAGGCUCACCAAGGCGACGAUCAGUAGCUGGUCUGAGAGGAUGAUCAGCCACAUUGGGACUGAGACACGGCCCAAACUCCUACGGGAGGCAGCAGUGGGGAAUCUUGCGCAAUGGGCGAAAGCCUGACGCAGCCAUGCCGCGUGAAUGAUGAAGGUCUUAGGAUUGUAAAAUUCUUUCACCGGGGACGAUAAUGACGGUACCCGGAGAAGAAGCCCCGGCUAACUUCGUG